AGAGUUUGAUCCUGGCUCAGAAUCAACGCUGGCGGCGUGCCUCAGACAUGCAAGUCGAACGCGAAAGGCCCCUUCGGGGGCCGAGUAGAGUGGCGCACGGGUGAGUAACACGUGGGUAAUCUACCUCUGGGUGGGGAAUAACAGCCGGAAACGGCUGCUAAUACCGCAUAAUGCAGCGGCACCACAUGGUGACAGUUGUUAAAGCGGGGGAUCGUAAGACCUCGCGCCUAGAUGAGGAGCCCGCGGCGGAUUAGCUAGUUGGUAGGGUAACGGCCUACCAAGGCGACGAUCCGUAGCCGGCCUGAGAGGGCGGACGGCCACACUGGCACUGACACACGGGCCAGACUCCUACGGGAGGCAGCAGUCGGGAAUUUUGGGCAAUGGGCGAAAGCCUGACCCAGCAACGCCGCGUGAAGGAUGAAGCUUUUCGGAGUGUAAACUUCAUAAGAAUGGGACGAAUAAGGAGGGGUUAACACCCCCUUUGAUGACGGUACCAUUUGUAAGCUCCGGCUAACUCCGUGCCAGCAGCCGCGGUAAUACGGGGGGAGCAAGCGUUGUUCGGAUUUACUGGGCGUAAAGGGCGCGUAGGCGGCGCAACAAGUCACUUGUGAAAUCUCCGGGCUUAACCCGGAGCGGCCAAGUGAUACUGUCGUGCUAGAGUGCGGAAGGGGCUACUGGAAUUCUCGGUGUAGCGGUGAAAUGCGUAGAUAUCGAGAGGAACACCUGCGGCGAA
rnacentral:rRNA from 1 species